UUCAAGAAAGAACUAAAGGAGUCUCAAGAACGAAGGAAAGGAAGCAACGAUGAAUGAAAGAAGCCAAACCAGGGGAUGCAUAACUCAAGAAUCACAACACGCUGUGAAUAAUUCUCAAAGGAAGCCCAAGCUUCUUUUUCUCCCACUUGCUUUGUCAGGCAGCAGCAUCUCUCAGAUGUUCCCUGUCCUGAAUGGAACAUGCUUCAUGCAUGUUAGGAGCUUCAUGCUUCUGUUGUUUCUCAAUGCCUGUGGGAGGCAGCAUCAUCCCUAAGAUGGUGGCUCUCUUGAAUGGAACAUGCUUCAUGCAUGUUAGGAGCUUCAUGCUUCUGUAGUUUCUCAAUGCCUGUGGAAGGCAGCAUCAUCCCUAAGAUGGUGGCUCUCUUGAAUGGAACACGCUUCAUGCAUGUUCCAUUCUGCCCUCUGAAGAAUGGUUUGGCAAGAAGAAACAGAAUUGGCACACCUUUCUUGAAGACCUCCAUGCCUGGAUGUUGACGUUGGAACCUUUUCUCCUCCCAAGUGGCCUCCGUGGCAGAUUUCAAGAAAGAACUAAAGGAGUCUCAAGAACGAAGGAAAGGAAGCAACGAUGAAUGACAGAAGUGAAACCAGGGGAUACAUAACUCAAGAAUCACAACACGCUGUGAAUAAUUUUCAAAGGAAGCCCAAGGUUCUUUUUCUCCCACUUGCUUUGUCAGGCAGCAUCCAUCUCUCAGAUGGUCCCUGUCCUGAAUGGAACAUGCUUCAUGCAUGUUAGGAGCUUCACGCUUCUGUAGUCCUGAAUGGAACAUGCUUCAUGCAUGUUAGGAGCUUCACGCUUCUGUAGUUUCUCAAUGCCUGUGGGAGGCAGCAUCAUCUCUAAGAUGGUGGCUGUCCGGAAUGGAACAUGCUUCAUGGAUGGUUAGGAGCUUCAUGCUUCUGUAGUUCAUCAAUGCCUGUGGGAGGCAGCAUCAUCUCUAAGAUGGUGGCUCUCUUGAAUGGAACAUGCUUCAUGCAUGUUAGGAGCUUCACGCUUCUGUAGUUUCUCAAUGCCUGUGGGAGGCAGCAUCAUCUCUAAGAUGGUGGCUGUCCGGAAUGGAACAGGCUUCAUGGAUGGUUAGGAGCUUCAUGCUUCUGUAGUUCAUCAAUGCCUGUGGGAGGCAGCAUCAUCUCUAAGAUGGUGGCUCUCUUGAAUGGAACAUGCUUCAUGCAUGUUAGGAGCUUCACGCUUCUGUAUUUUCCCAAUGCCUGUGGGAGGCAGCAUCAUCUCUAAGAUGGUGGCUCUCUUGAAUGGAAGAUGCUUAACGCAUGUUAGGAGCUUCAUGCUUCUGUAGUUUCUCAAUGCCUGUGGGAGGCAGCAUCAUCUCUAAGAUGGUGGCUCUCUUGAAUGGAACAUGCUUCAUGCAUGUUAGGAGCUUCACGCUUCUGUAUUUUCCCAAUGCCUGUGGGAGGCAGCAUCAUCUCUAAGAUGGUGGCUCUCUUGAAUGGAACAUGCUUCAUGCAUGUUAGGAGCUUCAUGCUUCUGUAUUUUCCCAAUGCCUGUGGGAGGCAGCAUCAUCUCUAAGAUGGUGGCUCUCUUGAAUGGAACAUGCUUCAUGUAUGUUAGGAGCUUCAUGCUUCUGUAUUUUCCCAAUGCCUGUGGGAGGCAGCAUCAUCUCUAAGAUGGUGGCUCUCUUGAAUGGAACAUGCUUAACGCAUGUUAGGAGCUUCAUGCUUCUGUAGUUUCUCAAUGCCUGUGGGAGGCAGCAUCAUCUCUAAGAUGGUGGCUCUCUUGAAUGGAACAUGUUUCAUGCAUGUUAGGAGCUUCAUGCUUCUGUAGUUUCUCAAUGCCUGUGGGAGGCAGCAUCAUCUCUAAGAUGGUGGCUCUCUUGAAUGGAACAUGCUUCAUGCAUGUUAGGAGCUUCAUGCUUCUGUAUUUUCCCAAUGCCUGUGGGAGGCAGCAUCAUCUCUAAGAUGGUGGCUGUCUUGAAUGGAACAUGCUUCAUGUAUGUUAGGAGCUUCAUGCUUCUGUAGUUUCUCAGUGCCUGUGGGAGGCAGCAUCAUCUCUAAGAUGGUGGCUCUCUUGAAUGGAACAUGCUUCAUGCAUGUUAGGAGCUUCAUGCUUCUGAAGUUUCUCAAUGCCUGUGGGAGGCAGCAUCAUCUCUAAGAUGGUGGCUCUCUUGAAUGGAACAUGCUUCAUGCAUGUUAGGAGCUUCACGCUUCUGAAGUUUCUCAAUGCCUGUGGGAGGCAGCAUCAUCUCUAAGAUGGUGGCUCUCUUGAAUGGAACAUGCUUCAUGCAUGUUAGGAGCUUCACGCUUCUGAAGUUUCUCAAUGCCUGUGGGAGGCAGCAUCAUCCCUAAGAUGGUGGCUCUCUUGAAUGGAACAUGCUUCAUGCAUGUUAGGAGCUUCACGCUUCUGUAGUUUCUCAAUGCCUGUGGGAGGCAGCAUCAUCCCUAAGAUGGUGGCUCUCUUGAAUGGAACAUGCUUCAUGCAUGUUAGGAGCUUCACGCUUCUCUAGUUUCUCAAUGCCUGUGGGAGGCAGCAUCAUCCCUAAGAUGGUGGCUCUCUUGAAUGGAACAUGCUUCACGCAUGUUAGGAGCUUCAUGCUUCUCUAGUUUCUCAAUGCCUGUAAGAGGCAGCAUCAUCCCUAAGAUGGUGGCUUUAUUGUAUGGAACAUGUUUCAUGCAUGUUCCAUUCUGCGCUCUGAAGAAUGCUUUGAGGAGAAGAAACAGAAUUGGCGCACCUUCUUCAAGGACCUCCAUGCCUGAACGUGGAUGUGGAAACGUUUUCUCCUCCCAAGCGGCCUCUGUGGCAGAUUUCAAGAAAGAACUAAAAGAAACUGAAGAAAGAACGAAAGGAAGCAACAAUGCACGACAGACGCCAAACCAGGGGCUCCAUUGACAGAUGUUCCCUGUCCUGAAUGCAACAUGCUUCAUGCGUGUUAGGAGCUUCAGGCUUCUAUAUUUUCCCAAUGGCUGUGGGAGGCAGCAUCAUCCCUAAGAUGGUGGCUCUCUUGAAUGGAACAUGCUUCAUGCAUGUUCCAUUCUGCCCUCUGAAGAAUGGUUUGGCAAGAAGAAACAGAACUGGCGCACCUUCUUCAAGGACCUCCAUGCCUGAACGUGGAUGUGGAAACGUUUUCUCCUCCGAAGUGGCCUCUGUGGCAGAUUUCAAGAAAGAACAAAAGGAAGCAACAAUGCAUGACAGAAGCCAAACCAGGGUCUGCAUUGAUAGAUGGCCCCUGUCCUGAAUGCAACAUGCUUCAUGCGUGUUAGGAGCUUCAGGCUUCUGUAUUUUCCCAAUGCCUGUGGGAGGCAGCAUCAUCCCUAAGAUGGUGGCUCUCUUGAAUGGAACAUGCUUCAUGCAUGUUCCAUUCUGCCCUCUGAAGAAUGGUUUGGCAAGAAGAAACAGAACUGGCGCACCUUCUUCAAGGACCUCCAUGCCUGAACGUGGAUGUGGAAACGUUUUCUCCUCCGAAGUGGCCACUGUGGCAGGUAAGACUGAAAGGGAAGGAUGGGAGGGACCAAUAAAAAUAUAUAUAUGUCAACGAGGGCUGUAUUAACUCCUAUUUGAAUGUUCUUACUUGCUUAUAAAGAUCUUGAAUAUACAGUUUCAAGUGCUCUAUUUAAAUUUGUCUCCCUAGCAGAUGUUCCUCUUGAGUUUUGCACAGGCCUAUUGAAAAGUGAUCUUACUAAACAAAUGUAGGGACGCAGGAGCUGAGGUCCUGCGGUCAGGGUGAUGUGCUGGCAACCUCUCCCCUGUAGCUGACACAGUGAGGCAGGGACGCAGGAGCUGAGGUCCUGCGGUCAGGGUGAUGUGCUGGCAACCUCUCCCCUGUAGCUGACACAGUGAGGCAGGGACGCAGGAGCUGAGGUCCUGCGGUCAGGGUGAU